AUUGAACGCUGGCGGCAUGCUUUACACAUGCAAGUCGGACGGCAGCGGGGUAGUGCUUGCACUACUGCCGGCGAGUGGCGAACGGGUGAGUAAUAUAUUGGAACGUACCGAGUAAUGGGGGAUAACCAAUCGAAAGAUUGGCUAAUACCGCAUACGCUCUGAGGAGGAAAGCAGGGGACCUUCGGGCCUUGCGUUAUUCGAGCGGCCAAUAUCUGAUUAGCUAGUUGGUGGGGUAAAGGCCUACCAAGGCGACGAUCAGUAGCGGGUCUGAGAGGAUGAUCCGCCACACUGGGACUGAGACACGGCCCAGACUCCUACGGGAGGCAGCAGUGGGGAAUUUUGGACAAUGGGCGCAAGCCUGAUCCAGCCAUGCCGCGUGUCUGAAGAAGGCCUUCGGGUUGUAAAGGACUUUUGUUAGGGAAGAAAAAGGAGCGGUUAAUACCCGUUUCUGCUGACGGUACCUAAAGAAUAAGCACCGGCUAACUACGUGCCAGCAGCCGCGGUAAUACGUAGGGUGCGAGCGUUAAUCGGAAUUACUGGGCGUAAAGCGAGCGCAGACGGUUACUUAAGCAGGAUGUGAAAUCCCCAGGCUUAACCUGGGAACUGCGUUCUGAACUGGGUAGCUAGAGUAUGUCAGAGGGGGGUAGAAUUCCACGUGUAGCAGUGAAAUGCGUAGAGAUGUGGAGGAAUACCGAUGGCGAAGGCAGCCCCCUGGGAUAAUACUGACGUUCAUGCUCGAAAGCGUGGGUAGCAAACAGG
rnacentral:rRNA from 1 species